AGUAGUUGUAUCUCUUCAUGAUAAAUACAACAUAAUAAUUCUUCAGACCAAAUGAUCCCAGGCUAAGUUUUGGCUCAGCCCUAGGAAAAAAAAUCACAGUCUAAAAGCUAUAAAAUGAAAUAUUGGCAACAUUAUAGAAAUUUUGUGAGCAGCAUCAUACACAGAACAUACAAGUUGUCAUUGGCUUACCAUUUAUCAUGCUAAAAGAAAAUUAACUACCAUUUGGUGCCAGGAGAACCUUUUAUCCUAAAAUAAAUUUCCUUAUGUCUUCACCUCUAAGAAGUUCUGGUGUGUUUGUGUUUUUAUAAUUUAGCAGCGUCCUUACCUCUCAAGCAGAUGAGCAUCUGUUAUGGCUACUCCUGUAUAAUUGGGGAGGUAUCAACCUUCUGUUCCUCCCCAGCCCCACCCCCACCCCAUCCUCCACCCUCCUUCUAGGUUCUUCUCCAUAUGCAUAUUUGGUGGGAGAAGGGUGUUGGAAAGUCUGCCACUCAGCGUGCUCCCACAACCAGCUGCCAGAAAGAAAACGAGCCUGUGAGUCAAGCCUUUUAGACAGAGAGGCGCUUGGUCACGGUGCUCACGUCACGGUACUCACGACUCGUCUACCAGGAGCGAAAGAGCAGCCCAUUUUUCAAUCCUGUUUCAUUACAACCUGUCACUUCGGUUUUCUCACAUCCAGAUUCUCAAAGUCAGGAGGCGGCUUUGUGCUUGUCAAGCCUUCCCGGCUUCAGCAAGACUGAGGCAAGCCAAUGUGACCUUUUGUAACAAUCAGAGCAAUGCGGCACAAAAGAGAAGCAUACAAACAAUGGUGCUGUAGCAAACAAUGUAUCUUUCUGUGUGGGAGGCACUCAGCCUUUGAAAGGUUGGAAACCUGAAGACAGAUUUUUUUUUUUCCAGAAUGUUCAGCCUGUAGCUACAGCACCCAGGGUAGAUUGCUGGUUGCUAAAAUAUGAACAUAAAAACACCUGACUCACCAAAUUAUUUCCUAGAAUAGUUAGCUGGGUGGAGGCUCAGCGAGUUAAUAACUAAACCCAACCCUCAAGUCUGUUGGCCAAGGGCAUAUUUAAGCUUAAUGAUGCUGUAUCCACCCAGAAAGAUAAACCAGCCUUUGAUAUCAUGCUCUGGCGACUGAGAAGAGGAAAAUGACUCAUUAGACACCUGGGACACAGAAUGAGUGGCCUGCGUUGGAGAUCCUUUGAAAGGGCUACUUGGUAUUGGAUAACCAGUCAGCGCGGUCUUCCAUUUCUCCUCUCUCGGUGUUCCUAAGUUGCCUGUAUGUGUUUGUGCAGGGUUGAGGCCUUCUGAGCUGCAACAUUUAACACUAAUACAGAGGAUGAAGCAGAGGACAGUUAAAGGCGGGACACAGCUGCAUAUUUAGGAGUCAAAUAAAAACAACACAAUCACUAACAAUUUUCAAGAGUUUACAGGUUGUAGUUAACGGACUUUAGAAUGGAGACCAUGAAGCAGAUCGAGCACCCGCUUUGAUGUCCGGUAGAACUGAAGUUGUACCUCAGCUUGAGUCCCUAUCACCAGUGCAGUUGGUCGUAAGGAAGUCGGUCUGUAGGAGACUGGAGUUCCCUACUAGAAUACUGGAUCAAGAGCAGUUACUUCACAUCAUUGGUCAUGACGAAUCAGAAGCAUGGGGCGACCACUCGCAAAAUGUCUGGUGGUGUCUAUUGCUCCUCCUUGGCAUAAAUUAUUUAUCAAGUAAAAAUCCAGUCGUUGGAAACAAAUUCCAAACUCUAA